GGGCCGGCUGGCCCGAUUUGGCCCCUUUCACCCUGCUAAGGUGGAGUCCUCGCAAGGGGACCGAGGGUUCAAAUCCCUCCGUCUCC
rnacentral:tRNA from 1 species